GACGAACGCUGGCGGCGUGCUUAACACAUGCAAGUCGAACGGAAAGGCCCUGCUUUGGUGCGCUGCUCGAGUGGCGACCGGGUGAGUUACACGUGAGUAACCUGCCCUUGACCUUGGGAUAACUUCAUGAAACUGGGGCUAAUACCGGAUAGGAGCUCCUGCUGCAUGGUGGGGGUUGGAAGGUUUCGGCGGUUGGGGAUGGACUAGCGGCUUAUCAGAUUGUUGGUUGGGUAGUGUCUGACCAAGGCUUUGACGGGUAGCCGGGCUGAGAGGGUGACCGGCCACACUGGGACUGGGCUGCGACACAGCCUAGAACGGGAGGCAACAGUGGGGAAGAGAGCACUGGAGGCUGAGGCCAGAUGCGGCAAAGCAGCGUGCGGGAUGAGGGCAAUCGGGUUGUGAUGCAAUGUCGCCUGUGCCGAGAUGUGAGUGACGGUAACGGGUAAAGAAGCACCGGCUAACUACGUG
rnacentral:rRNA from 1 species